UACGUAGGGACCAAGCGUUGUUCGGAUUUACUGGGCGUAAAGGGUGUGUAGGCGGUUCUCUAAGUCAGACGUGAAAUCCCCCGGCUUAACCUGGGAACUGCGUCUGAUACUGGGAGCUAGAGUGCGGGAGAGGGAUGCGGAAUUCCAGGUGUAGCGGUGAAAUGCGUAGAUAUCUGGAGGAACACCGGUGGCGAAGGCGGCAUCCUGGACCGACACUGACGCUGAGGCGCGAAAGCUAGG
rnacentral:rRNA from 1 species